rnacentral:rRNA from 1 species
CAGCAGCCGCGGGAAUACGUAGGUGGCAAGCGUUGUUCGGAAUUACUGGGCGUAAAGCGCGCGUAGGCGGUUACUCAAGUCAGAGGUGAAAGCCCGGGGCUCAACCCCGGAACUGCCUUUGAAACUAGGUAACUAGAAUCUUGGAGAGGUCAGUGGAAUUCCGAGUGUAGAGGUGAAAUUCGUAGAUAUUCGGAAGAACACCAGUGGCGAAGGCGACUGACUGGACAAGUAUUGACGCUGAGGUGCGAAAGCGUGGGGAGCAAACAGGAUUAGAUACCCCUGUAGUCCCUGUCUCUUAUAC